GGUAGCCGGACUGAGAGGUUGAACGGCCACAUUGGGACUGAGACACGGCCCAGACUCCUACGGGAGGCAGCAGUGGGGGAUAUUGCACAAUGGGGGAAACCCUGAUGCAGCGACGCCGCGUGGAGGAAGAAGGUUUUCGGAUUGUAAACUCCUGUCGUUAGGGACGAUAAUGACGGUACCUAACAAGAAAGCACCGGCUAACUACGUGCCAGCAGCCGCGGUAAAACGUAGGGUGCAAGCGUUGUCCGGAAUUACUGGGUGUAAAGGGAGCGCAGGCGGACCGGCAAGUUGGAAGUGAAAACUAUGGGCUCAACCCAUAAAUUGCUUUCAAAACUGCUGGCCUUGAGUAGUGCAGAGGUAGGUGGAAUUCCCGGUGUAGCGGUGGAAUGCGUAGAUAUCGGGAGGAACACCAGUGGCGAAGGCGACCUACUGGGCACCAACUGACGCUGAGGCUCGAAAGCAUGGGUAGCAAACAGGAUUAGAUACCCUGGUAGUCCAUGCCGUAAACGAUGAUUACUAGGUGUUGGAGGAUUGACCCCUUCAGUGCCGCAGUUAACACAAUAAGUAAUCCACCUGGGGAGUACGACCGCAAGGUUGAAACUCAAAGGAAUUGACGGGGGCCCGCACAAGCAGUGGAGUAUGUGGUUUAAUUCGAAGCAACGCGAAGAACCUUACCAGGUCUUGACAUCCGAUGCAUAGUGCAGAGAUGCAUGAAGUCCUUCGGGACAUCGAGACAGGUGGUGCAUGGUUGUCGUCAGCUCGUGUCGUGAGAUGUUGGGUUAAG
rnacentral:rRNA from 1 species